rnacentral:rRNA from 1 species
AGAGAGAGACAUGCGCGCAUAUCAAUAAGCGGAGGAAAAGAAACUAACUAGGAUUCCCUCAGUAACGGCGAGUGAAGCGGGAAGAGCUCAAAUUUGAAAUCUUCAAGGUUCUACCUUGACGAAUUGUAGUUUAAAGAAGUGUUUUCUGUUGGAGUUUCGGCUAAAAGUUCUUUGGAAUAGGACAUCAUAGAGGGUGAGAAUCCCGUAUUUGGUCAUUCCUCCUAGCUGUUGUGAUACACUUUCAACGAGUCGGAUUGUUUGGGAAUGCAGUCCAAGAUGGGUGGUAAAUUUCAUCUAAAGCUAAAUAUUGGCGAGAGACCGAUAGCGAACAAGUACCGUGAGGGAAAGAUGAAAAGAACUUUGAAAAGAGAGUUAAACAGGUACGUGAAAUUGUCAAAAGGGAAGCGUUUGACACCAGUGUUGUUUUUCCGAAAAUCAAUUACGAAUGUUUUAUUUUUGAGGAGUUAUGACUUCAUCGGCUUGCUCCUUUCUUUACGAAACUUUCUUAAUGCACUUUUCGGUUAACAAGUCAACAUCAAUUUCUUUUGUUGUAAAAGGGUAUGAGGAAGGUGGCUUUCUUUUCGGAGAAAGUGUUUAUAGCCUUGUGCCUCUGCAAUCGGAGAGAUUGAGGUCUGCAGGCGUAGAUCCUUCGGGGUUAGAUACGUUUGUGCUAAGUUAUAGCUUUUCAUAGACAACUUGUUGACUAGUGUUUAGUCUUGUAGCUUACUCGCUGAUGCUAUUUUACCUACGCUUAGGAUGUUGAUAGUCACAGCGUGUAC